rnacentral:rRNA from 1 species
CGGAUCGUAAAGCUCUGUUGUUAGGGAAGAACAAGUGCCGUUCAAAUAGGGCGGCACCUUGACGGUACCUAACCAGAAAGCCACGGCUAACUACGUGCCAGCAGCCGCGGUAAUACGUAGGUGGCAAGCGUUGUCCGGAAUUAUUGGGCGUAAAGGGCUCGCAGGCGGUUUCUUAAGUCUGAUGUGAAAGCCCCCGGCUCAACCGGGGAGGGUCAUUGGAAACUGGGGAACUUGAGUGCAGAAGAGGAGAGUGGAAUUCCACGUGUAGCGGUGAAAUGCGUAAAGAUGUGGAGGAACACCAGUGGCGAAGGCGACUCUCUGGUCUGUAACUGACGCUGAGGAGCGAAAGCGUGGGGAGCGAACAGGAUUAGAUACCCUGGUAGUCCACGCCGUAAACGAUGAGUGCUAAGUGUUAGGGGGUUUCCGCCCCUUAGUGCUGCAGCUAACGCAUUAAGCACUCCGCCUGGGGAG